UCUGGUAUAGAUAUCCAAGCAUGCAAAUAAUGUUUCUUUGUGGGUUCAUUACGUCUAGUACUAGUAUCAGUUUCUCGUAUUUUAAUUUAGUUCUGUGAUAUGUGUGGGAAUGAAAUAACUGUCUGCUGAGUCUAUGAAGCUUCUUAGCUUUAUAGCGUUUGUGGUAUUAUUAUUGAGUUGUCUGGUGUUGUGUAAUAAAACCUUUUGGGAGACUAUUAUAUGAAAUAUUGUUAUUGUCAAUAUAUUUGCACUCAUAUGUUCUGAUGUGUUUACUCUUUGAACAUUCACUUUCUUGAAAAAUCUUCAUUAGAAGGUACGCUCUUGAUACCAGUGUAACUAGUAAAACUCGUCGAUUGUAUUACUACUACUACUACCAUCUUAUUCUUUGGUUAUAUUGCUACAUGUUUUUCCGUUACUUCGAUUAUUGUAUUAGUUAUUGUUUAACUAUUUUCUUUUUCUUUUGGCAUAUCUUUUUCACUCCUAAUUAUUUUUUCUUGAAUUUGAUAUGCACCAUUUGUAUCAGUUGAGUAAUAACCACUUGGAAGGUUUUUUAUAUGACAAGCUUUUCUACUUAAAUUUUAUACUAGUCUAGUUUCUGGUCAUUGUUGUUUGUUCUAAUCGAUUACUAAUAACCAAUGAAGGUCUUCUAUUCGAUAAACUCUUCCUACUUAAAAUUUAUUCUAGUCUAGUAUAAUGAUGAGGCAUACCACGAUAUAGUAGUUGCAGUCUCUUUUCAAAAUUAUUGGUGUACCUCUGCAUUAAUAGUUGCAUAUGCCCUAGGGAGAAAAAAUGAGUUGAAAGAUCCUUCCAAAGGAGAAGUAGGUCUCACAAUAUUAUUAAGUUAAAAAAAAGAUGAAGUCGUUUAAACAACUGUGACAGUUGUUCGACAACUGAACUUUGAUCAAAUUGUUGAUAGAACUUCUAUAGUUGUUGGGACCAACCUUUUUAGUUGUUGGAGCGAAAAUGUUUAAAAAAAAAUGGAAAUUUUUUAUUAAAACUUGAAGGACCUCACUUAAUUGAGAAACUUAUUUGUCCCUCCGCAUUAUGAGCAAACGCUAAUUUGCUAUGUCUGAAAAAUUCUUGGAUUUUUUUUUUCCAGUUAAUUCAGCAAGAGGAUUUACACUUUAAAAUAAAUUAAGAAAUUCAAAGAAAAAGAUGUGCUAAUCUUCACUUGUCUAUUCUUCAUCUUCAUAUCCAAAAACUGAACUACCUCACCUCACACUGACCCAUCAUAGAGGAACUCAAUGUCCAACCAUAUUAUUGAAAAUUAUACUAGAACCUGAUGGGCUUUUAAGAUCAAAUCCACUAGGAAGUAGUGUCAUAAAGAUAAAUAGACCACAGAAUGAUAUAACCACGAGCUGAGUUGUAUGCAAAAUUCCAAUUUUUAGAAACAUGAAGCAUAAGCUUCAGUAGACAAAAUAAAUUAGUAUGUACUCACUCAACUACAACCAAAAUUGGAAACUACAUACAAGAACAAUGUUCAUUAUACUCGUCUCCCGCGUACUAUAAUAUGCCCUGUGCUGUGAGCUAAGCUGAUUCUCUUUAAGGAAGCAGAACUUGAGCUGAACAAAUCUAGACACCGGUUCUCUGAAAAUUUUGUGUAGCUACAACUCUGUUAUGGAGAUUUCUUUGUUUAGUAAGGUCGAAAUUUCCUUGCCGCCCUCAACUGCUGUAUCCGCUUCUUAUCCUGCUCAAAUUUGCUCUGCAACACCAUGAUCUCUGUGCACAAAUAAAAAAAAACAACAAUGAUAAGUUACGACCAGAAGACCGAGCAAUAACCAUAUUGAAAUGAGGAAUUCAUUGGCACUCACACCAAUGAGAAGUCAAGUAGAGUAACAUAGCAGCAUCAAGUCAUGGCGAGUAGGUGACUGAAUGGGUCGAGAAAAUUUAACUUAACUAGUCCAACGUAACAUAGUCAGAUCGGGUUUACAUUGAACUCAAAUUCUUUACAUGCCGUUAUGUUCAUAAAAGCAAAGUUGAAAAGGGAAUCUCUACUGACCCUUUGAUGGGACUAAGGAAACAAACUACAAGUAGAAUAACAGAAGAGGAAACAUUGGAUUUAAAACCAGCAAACACAGGUAACUUAAGUAGUCUAACUUUUAUACGAAUGAAAGAUGAGCUACAGUUCCACGAUAAAGGAAGAAGGACUAGAAGUUACGAGACGGAGGAGAAGUUCACAACCAUGACCAGACACUGCAUAUACACGUAACAAAGAGAGUGCUUGGACAACUCCACCUUGAAAAGAGAAGAUUUCGAGAACAAAGAUGUGUGGAGGUAACUCUUCUUCUCCCUCCUUGAAAUUAUUUUUCCAUAAAAAGGGGUGAAUUCUUACAAACUUAAACAAUUGAAGCUUCCUUUUUGAAGUUGUUUUCAAGAGAUCAAAUUUACAGUUGUUUCAACUUUCAAGGAUUAUCUGAGGCUCAUUUUGGUUAUCUACCAUGAAUGAUAGAAAAACUUGCUAAACUAAUUGUAUAACAAGCUACCAAAACACGGCUGCCUUUUCAAGCAUCCUAAUAUUGACUAAAUUAGCUAAUGACAAUUCCGUUCAAGCUUAGAAACCCCUUCAUCAGAUGUAAAUACCUUUUCAUUAUUUGAUUGAUCAGAUAAAUUUAAACUUUUGAGAUUUUGAAUUUACCUUUUAGAAAAUUUUGAACCGAGGAAAACAAAGUCCGUGGAUACAUAUGGAGGCAGAAAGUAUUGAAAAAGGCAAAGAUACAAUAAACUGACCAUUUCUCUUUGCUUCUCUUUUCUGAAACCGGUAGAAAUCUAACCCCACAUCUUUAUUCUUCUUUUUGGCCAUAUUGUCCAUAACUGCAGCCUGAGAAACAGAACCGACUGCAAUUCCAGUUUCAGAAUCUGUAGUCUUUUUCCUGCCUUUGUGAUGUACAACAACAGUCCAUCCAUCUUCUGCAGCAAGAGCUUCCUUUUCUUUCUUUUCCUGUAGGUACCAAAAUAGAAUAAUAUGAAACGGUAAUAACUGUACAUUCUUAACAUGUAUACGGUAUGCAACCACUACGAUGCAAGAACAUGACACAUCACUCUUUUCUUAUGUUAAAAAUAAUAAUUAAACAAAACAAUAGCGAAUCUAAGCUGUGUAUUCUCUUUAUCGGGUAAGUUUACAUGAUUCUUAAUCUUUGCGAUGUUGAAAAUCAAUAACUAUUUCAUCAGAUUUACGUCUAUUCUUUCUUUAUAUUUCUGAUUGCAAAAUUCAACAAAAAGAUUAAAAAAAAAUUUCAAUUGUGAUUCCCUCAGCUCAAUCAUACUAAUGAAAAAUAUUCAACUGCUCAAACUUUCUACUCUAAGAUAAAUUUUAAAAUUUAAAAAUUACAAUCCACAUAUUCUACUGUUGGACUCGUGCUGACACAGGCCUUGCACUUCUAAUUUAGUAAUAAAUAUAAAUCCCACAAGAGAUCAAAAAAAAAAAAAUAAAAAAAAAAAUGAAGUUGCUUGGAAACUGGUGGAAGAGUCCAAAUGAAACAAGUCUCCAUACAGCUGUAUCUACCGAUUCUUGCGUUGUCACCAUUCUUUAUUACUUACCACACGAAAUAUCCCAUGGUCUAAAAACAAUAAUAAAAGGAGAGUCACAAAUUAUAGAAAAUACACGUGUCAAAUUUUGGUUAUACACGUUUCCUUAGCCUUACAAUAAUUCUCGCCCCUAUAUAAAUAGGCUCAAUACCUCUGCAUGUAGUUAUGUGCUUCGCUAUCGAUAUAUUAACAUAUCAAUAAUAAUUCUCUCUUCCCAGAUAAUCUUUUGUUCUAAAUCAAUUUUAUUUUGGAUCUACCCUUUUUCAAUUUGCAUCGUCGAUUUACUUAACCAGUAAGUUUUUUUUUUCUUUCUUUAUGAUAUGAUAAUUGAAUUUUGUGCGUAUUUGAUAUGAUUUGAUUUUUUAAUUUUGUGUUUUAUAGGGUUGUGUUAAAGAAGCUUUUAUAAUUCAAUCAAAGGAGGUCUCUCUGCAUCGGCUUAUAUCACUAAUUUUUGUAAGUAAAGUAAAGAUUCUGUUGCUUUAUGUUAUUUUCGUGUAUCGUUUUGCUCUGUUGUUGCUGAAUUUGAUAAUGCUUGGUGUUUUUUUGAUUGAAAUUUUAAUUUUCUCCUUUUUUUUGCCCUUAUUUUGGUGGAAUAGUCCCUUGUUUUACAAUAAUUUUCUUGUAAUUGCGUAUAGAAUUGAUUUCUUGUUACUAACUUAGGUUUUCUUAUUUUUUCGAUGUGCUAUUUUGGUGUUUUCUUUUGAUGUUAUUAAAGCCCUUUUCUUUCGUUUUUUAAAAGCAAAAUAGUUAUGAAUGUUUAGAUUUGUCUUUGCAAAAUUAGUGGUUGGUUCGUCUUUUGAUGGAAAGUUAUCAAAUCUUUUGUGGGUGGGUGGAACAUACAUAAACUGCUUUAUUUGCUUUACAUAGUUGAUUUUUGAUACUCCUCUCCAUUUCGCUAAGAACGACCUAAUUUUAUUGAUUUGGCACGGAGAUUAAGAAAUUAAAGAAAUUUUUGAACGUUAAGAACGACCUAAUUUUAUUGAUUUGGCACGGAGAUUAAGAAAUUAAAGAAAUUUUUGAACUUGUCGUCCUAAAUUAAAAUUAUGUCAAAUUUUCAUUAAAGUAUUCCUAAAAAGGAAAGGGGUCCAUUUCUUAUGGAAAUGGAUUAAAAAGGAAAGUAGAUCAUUCUUUUUUUAAAACGGAGCGAGUAUGUUUUAUUUGAACCGAGUCUUUUGUAGCCACCCCUAAAGGCACAACUUGUUUGAUAAUACUGGGCAUAUUGUUGAAAUUAUCGAACCUUUAGUAGAUGCUACUGUUUAAAUUUUUUUCUUUUUGGAAAAAAUAAAGACAUAUUUUUGUUAGUUAUAGAUAUAGAUUUAUUAUACAGUAUUUCUUUUCUUUAUGUUUUUUCUUAUGGGUAUUGUUGUUAUGAUUUACCAUCUGAAAUGCUAUUACCAUCUUUGGAUGGGAUUAUUGUAAUAAGCUUCAAAGAGGCUAUCCUUCUACCAUGGGUUGAUAGAAUUAGACCAGAUGUUAGGCAGCUGUUGUCUUCUUAGUAUAGAAAUAGCCAACUUACACACCAUAACAACAAUUAGUUGUUUGUAAGCCACAUAAAUCAGUUUCCUCUGUUUGAGGAGGAGUUAUUUGUAUUCAAUCGUAGUUCUUGAUCUAUUUUCUUGUUGUCUCCAUAAAUCUAUCAAAGGCCAAACUUUUCUUUUUUUUUUUCUAAUCUAUCAAAGGCCAAACUUUUCAUAUUUUAUUUCUGACCAUCUUCUUUCUUUUAAUGCCCUAAGCAGGUAGGAAUCGAUGAACUAAUGGAGUCUAAAGGUGGGAAGAAGAAGUCUAGUAGUAGUUCCUUAUGUUACGAAGCUCCCCUAGGUUACACUAUUGAAGACGUUCGACCAAACGGAGGAAUCAAGAAAUUCAGAUCAGCUGCUUACUCCAACGUGAGUUCAUUUAUCCUUUACCUUAUGUAUCUUAUUAGUUUGCAUCUUCGUGCAUACAUGCUGACUGCUUGCGUUUCUCUAUCUUUUUCAUAUGCAGUGCACUCGCAAGCCAUCCUGAGAUUUCCCGUGAUCUAGAAUAAACCACCAGAGGUGGUUCUAAGUAGUUUUAGAAUUCUGUUUUUCUCAGCUUUUUUUCUUCAUCCCUCAUCCUCGUUACACGCUCCAAAAUUUAGUCCUUUCCGAACACACACUUUCAAGCAAGAUGGAUUUGCCGGUAUCUGCAAUUGGAUUUGAAGGUUAUGAAAAGCGACUUGAGAUUUUCUUUUUCGAGUUAGGAAACUCUUAUGGCCCUGGAUGUGGCCUACGGUCGCUCUCCAAAGAUCAGUUGGAUGAAAUUCUGACACCUGCUGCAUGCACCAUAGUGUCUUCAUUGGCUAAUGAUGAAGUUGACUCUUAUGUCCUUUCAGAGUCUAGCCUCUUUGUCUACUCUUACAAGAUCAUAAUCAAAACUUGUGGCACCACAAAACUGCUGCUCUCGAUCCCGCCCAUUCUUAAGUCGGCUGACUCACUUGACCUGAAAGUGAAGUCUGUGAGGUACACUCGUGGUAGUUUCAUCUUUCCUGGGGCUCAACCAUACCCACAUCGUCACUUCUCCGAAGAAGUGGCCGUGCUUGACAGCUAUUUUGGUAAGCUUGGUGCAGGCAGCAGUGCAUAUGUGAUGGGUAGUGCUGAUAAACAACAGAACUGGCAUGUCUAUUCUGCUUCAGCUGAAUCUGCCGAUGCCAAUAAUGUGAAUCCAGUUUAUACACUGGAGAUGUGCAUGACUAACUUGGACAAGAAAAAGGCAUCCGUAUUUUUCAAGACUCAAUCUAGCACUGCUGCUGAGAUGACUGAACUUUCAGGCAUUCGGAAGAUUCUUCCAGAAUCAAACAUAUGCGAUUUUGAUUUUGAACCUUGUGGUUACUCAAUGAAUGCUGUUGAAGGCUCGGCAAUCUCCACGAUUCACAUAACACCCGAGGAUGGAUUCAGCUAUGCAAGUUUUGAAGCAGUGGGUUAUGAUUUCAGAGAGGUCAACUUAACUGCAAUGAUUGAGAGGGUGUUGUCCUGCUUCGGACCUGCUGAGUUUUCCGUGGCAUUACACUCUGACACUCCUGGGAAGGAACUUUAUACUGACUCGAGCCUGAACAUCAUCGGAUAUGUCUCUGGCGAAAAGACUACUGAAGUGCUUGGUGAGGGAGGAUCACUUACGUACCUCACAUUCAGCAGUGGUGGUAGCUGCGGCGGAUCCCCCAGAUCAAUCCUUAAUAACAGCUGUUGGAGUGAGAACGAGGAUGAGGAAAUGGAGAAGAUAUAUUAAUGAGAAAUAUGUCUAUUCUCUUUUUUAGUACGCAAUACUAUAGCUCUGGUAUAGAUAUCCAAGCAUGCAAAUAAUGUUUCUUUGUGGGUUCAUUACGUCUAGUACUAGUAUCAGUUUCUCGUAUUUUAAUUUAGUUCUGUGAUAUGUGUGGGAAUGAAAUAACUGUCUGCUGAGUCUAUGAAGCUUCUUAGCUUUAUAGCGUUUGUGGUAUUAUUAUUGAGUUGUCUGGUGUUGUGUAAUAAAACCUUUUGGGAGACUAUUAUAUGAAAUAUUGUUAUUGUCAAUAUAUUUGCACUCAUAUGUUCUGAUGUGUUUACUCUUUGAACAUUCACUUUCUUGAAAAAUCUUCAUUAGAAGGUACGCUCUUGAUACCAGUGUAACUAGUAAAACUCGUCGAUUGUAUUACUACUACUACUACCAUCUUAUUCUUUGGUUAUAUUGCUACAUGUUUUUCCGUUACUUCGAUUAUUGUAUUAGUUAUUGUUUAACUAUUUUCUUUUUCUUUUGGCAUAUCUUUUUCACUCCUAAUUAUUUUUUCUUGAAUUUGAUAUGCACCAUUUGUAUCAGUUGAGUAAUAACCACUUGGAAGGUUUUUUAUAUGACAAGCUUUUCUACUUAAAUUUUAUACUAGUCUAGUUUCUGGUCAUUGUUGUUUGUUCUAAUCGAUUACUAAUAACCAAUGAAGGUCUUCUAUUCGAUAAACUCUUCCUACUUAAAAUUUAUUCUAGUCUAGUAUAAUGAUGAGGCAUACCACGAUAUAGUAGUUGCAGUCUCUUUUCAAAAUUAUUGGUGUACCUCUGCAUUAAUAGUUGCAUAUGCCCUAGGGAGAAAAAAUGAGUUGAAAGAUCCUUCCAAAGGAGAAGUAGG
rnacentral:lncRNA from 1 species